rnacentral:rRNA from 2 species
AACGAACGCUGGCGGCAGGCUUAACACAUGCAAGUCGAGCGCCCCGCAAGGGGAGCGGCAGACGGGUGAGUAACGCGUGGGAAUCUACCUUUUGCUACGGAAUAACGCAGGGAAACUUGUGCUAAUACCGUAUGUGUCCUUCGGGAGAAAGAUUUAUCGGCAAGAGAUGAGCCCGCGUUGGAUUAGCUAGUUGGUGGGGUAAAGGCCUACCAAGGCGACGAUCCAUAGCUAGUCUGAGAGGAUGAUCAGCCACAUUGGGACUGAGACACGGCCCAAACUCCUACGGGAGGCAGCAGUGGGGAAUAUUGGACAAUGGGCGCAAGCCUGAUCCAGCCAUGCCGCGUGAGUGAUGAAGGCCCUAGGGUUGUAAAGCUCUUUCACCGGAGAAGAUAAUGACGGUAUCCGGAGAAGAAGCCCCGGCUAACUUCGUGCCAGCCGCCGCG